GCCUACUUAACUCAAUUGGUAGAGUAUCGGUAUAGUAAACCGAAGGUUAUCGGUUCAAGUCCGGUCGUAGGC
rnacentral:tRNA from 1 species